UUGACCUGGAUCAGUAGAAUACC
rnacentral:rRNA from 1 species